rnacentral:rRNA from 1 species
UACGAAGGGGGCUAGCGUUGUUCGGAAUUACUGGGCGUAAAGCGCGUGUAGGCGGUUGCCAAAGUCGGGUGUGAAAGCCUUGAGCUCAACUCAAGAAUUGCACUCGAUACUUGGUGACUAGAGGACCGGAGAGGAUGAGUGGAAUUCCCAGUGUAGUGGUGAAAUACGUAGAGAUUGGGAAGAACACCAGUGGCGAAGGCGGCUAUCUGGACGGUUUCUGACGCUAAGACGCGAAAGCGUGGGGAGCAAACAGG